rnacentral:rRNA from 1 species
AUUGAACGCUGGCGGCAGGCCUAACACAUGCAAGUCGAGCAAACGGCGCACGGGUGAGAAAUGUCUGGGAACCUGCCGGAUGUAGGGGGAUACCUACUGGAAACGGUCGCUAAUACCGCAUCCCAUCAGAUGUGCCCAGAUGGGAGUAGCUGGUAGGUGGGGUAACGGCUCACCUAGGCGACGAUGCCUAGCUGGUCUGAGAGGAUGACCAGCAAAACUGGAAUGGAGACACGGUCCAGACUCCGACGGGAGGCAGAAGUGGGGAAAAUAGCAAAAUGGGCGCAAGCCUGAUGAAGCCAUGCCGCGUGUGUGAAGAAGGCCUUCGGGUUGUAAAGAACUUUCCGCGGGGAGGCGUUACCCGCAGAAGAAGCACCGGCUAACUCCGUGCCAGCAGCCGCGGUAAUAC